rnacentral:rRNA from 1 species
CAGUAGCCGCGGUAAUACGAAGGGGGCUAGCGUUGUUCGGAUUUACUGGGCGUAAAGCGCACGUAGGCGGAUUCUUAAGUCAGAGGUGAAAUCCCAAGGCUCAACCUUGGAACUGCCUUUGAUACUGGGGAUCUCGAGUUCGGGAGAGGUGAGUGGAACUGCGAGUGUAGAGGUGAAAUUCGUAGAUAUUCGCAAGAACACCAGUGGCGAAGGCGGCUCACUGGCCCGAUACUGACGCUGAGGUGCGAAAGCGUGGGGAGCAAACAGGAUUAGAUACCCCUGUAGUCCCUGUCUCUUAUAA